GCCGUCUCAUCUCAUCUCCCUUUUCUAUUCAUUUCUUCUUCUUCCCACGACCGAGAGCCUCAAAGGCUACCCACAUCGGCCACCAAUACUCCUCUCCAUUCCCUUCACUCUCUCCUUUCACGAACGACGGCUGUACAUCAAGAUCCCACUGCUCGUCGAGGCUUGGCAGGCUACCGCGCUAACACGCAUGGUGAAGUGAAACCUCCAAAUUAUGACCUAGAAGACCCCGACUCCUCUAUUUCCUCUCCUAAGCCUGCUCAUCCCUUCGACCGAACGAAAUUUUUUCUUCUAGCAUCGGUGACGAGUUUCUCUGGAUGGUAAAGGUACAAAACGGAGAUCACGAGGCUCCAACGGCGCGCGCACCUCCUCAGGCUUGACCUUCUCUUUACUUGUUUUUUUAGUUUCGACAUAAUACAAGCAUACACACCACGCUAAAAAGAAAAUGAGUAAGAAAAUUACCUUAAUCAAUUAAUAUUGCGAAAAAUAUAGGGAAUGACCCCUAAUACAUUGUUUAUGUGGGUUUCAGAAUACCCUAAUUACAAGAACAAAGUUUCCUUUUCGUCCCUUGCUUGUUCUUUCUUUUUUUUUCCUCUCGUCGUUUGUUGUUGAUUCCCCCCUUUCCAUACAAUUAUUUCCUCUCGUUUUAACAAUCCCCCGUUGAAAAUACCCUUCCGAACCUUCCCCUUUUCUAUAUUUUUCUACCGAAUCCUACUUAUCAUCUUGUUGAUUUUUCUUUGUUAUUUGGUAGUAUAAUGAUUGGUUUAGGUGAAAUUAGGUUGGGGAUUUAUCUUUGACUUUAGUGGAUGAUUUGUUUCUGUUUUGCUAUUGGGUACAGAUUUGGUGGCGAGAAUGGCUCAGCAGUGACUUGGCUUGAGUUGGUGUAUGGCAACUGUUGAAGAUGGUAGCAACUUGCUUUAAUAUUAGGAUUUUAGAAAAUCCUAAAUUCACUGGGUUGGGUCACUGGGUUAAUGUAUUUGGGCUCAUCUUGUUGGGCUUCGGGUGAUGUUAUA